rnacentral:rRNA from 1 species
AGUGAACGCUGGCGGUAGGCCUAACACAUGCAAUCGAACGGCAGCACAGUAAGAGCUUGCUCUUACGGGUGGCGAGUGGCGGACGGGUGAGGAAUACAUCGGAAUCUACUUUUUCGUGGGGGAUAACGUAGGGAAACUUACGCUAAUACCGCAUACGACCUACGGGUGAAAGCAGGGGAUCUUCGGACCUUGCGCGAUUGAAUGAGCCGAUGUCGGAUUAGCUAGUUGGCGGGGUAAAGGCCCACCAAGGCGACGAUCCGUAGCUAGUCUGAGAGGAUGAUCAGCCACACUGGAACUGAGACACGGUCCAGACUCCUACGGGAGGCAGCAGUGGGGAAUAUUGGACAAUGGGCGCAAGCCUGAUCCAGCCAUACCGCGUGGGUGAAGAAGGCCUUCGGGUUGUAAAGCCCUUUUGUUGGGAAAGAAAAGCAGCAGGUUAAUACCCCGCUGUUCUGACGGUACCCAAAGAAUAAGCACCGGCUAACUUCGUG